rnacentral:rRNA from 1 species
AUUGGGCUAGUUGAAAUUCUAAAGUUCUCAAAGCGGCAUGAUUGUUUUCCCAAUGCAAGUAUUGCAUAUAGAGUUUUGUUUAACCAUCCUGUGACUGUUGCAUCAACGGAACUAAGCUUUUCUAAAUUGAAACUAUUAAAGUGUUAUAUGUGCACUACCAUGACACAACAAAUACUUGUUUGGCCACAAUAG